rnacentral:misc_RNA from 2 species
UCGAGUUAGGGUCCCCAGGGCCCGAAUCUCCCAACCCUUUGUUUAUCCAACCUCUGUUGCUUCGGCGGGCCCGUCCUUGAUGGACCGCCGGAGGACCACCGCUUGCGGUGUCCUCUGGCCCGUGCCCGUCGAUAGCCCACGUCUAAACUCUUGCUUAAAACGUGUUUGUCUGCCUAAAUUCAUAACUAAAAUAAAACGCA